ACCUGGGUGGCUCAGUGGUUGAGCGUCUGCCUUCAGCUCAGAUCAUGAUCCCCGGGUC
rnacentral:tRNA from 1 species